rnacentral:rRNA from 1 species
GUCCACGCCCGUAAACGAUGGAUACUAGCUGUUCGGAGCAAUCUGAGUGGCUAAGCGAAAGUGAUAAGUAUCCCCACCUGGGGGAGUACGUUCGCAAGAAUGAAACUCAAAGGAAUUGACGGGGGCCCGCACAAGCGGUGGAGCAUGUGGUUUAAUUCGAUGAUACGCGAGGAACCUUACCAAGGCUUAAAUGUAGAUUGACCGGUUUGGAAACAGACUUUUCGCAAGACAAUUUACAAGGUGCUGCAUGGUUGUCGU